rnacentral:tRNA from 1 species
GGAGCUUUAGCUCAGUGGUCAGAGCAGUCGGCUCAUAACCGAUCGGUCCCGGGUUCGAGUCCCUGAGCCUCCA